rnacentral:rRNA from 1 species
UACAGAGGGGGCAAGCGUUGUUCGGAAUUACUGGGCGUAAAGGGCGCGUAGGCGGCCCGCUAAGUCGAACGUGAAAUCCCCGAGCUCAACUCGGGAACUGCGUCCGAUACUGGCGGGCUUGAAUCCGGGGAGAGGGAUGCGGAAUUCCAGGUGUAGCGGUGAAAUGCGUAGAUAUCUGGAGGAACACCGGUGGCGAAGGCGGCAUCCUGGACCGGCAUUGACGCUGAGGCGCGAAAGCUAGGGGAGCAAACGGGG